ensembl:lncRNA
AAAAAAGAGAGGGAAAUGAGGAAAAAAAGAAGAAGAUUGUUUGAUAAGUCAAGAGAGUUAUUUGGAUUUUUUUGUGUGCGUGCACAGCAGUCCUGGUGGGAGGACGAGGUGGAAGAGGGACAUUUGGAUAUGUUGCACUGGGGACGUGACGGUGAGCCCAGUUUCCUCAGGAAGGUCUUAAUCCUCAGAGACUCUAACACCUGAUCACCAACUGUCCUCCUUCUGUUUUGGAAAUCAACAGGAUUCUGUCGCAGAACAUCGUCCCCUCGCUGGUGUCCUCGGCCUCUCUCCUCCAGAAUCAGAUAGGUGUGGCAGAGACGAAAUCCAGCCACAUGACAGCACCCAGUUUUCUUAGAUUUAUGACCAGAGAUUGAACAUGGGCGGCAUUGCACGGAACAGACAUCAACAGUGCUACACCGUUUGGCCCAGUAGCUUUGUGUACUCUCUUUUUCCCACGCACUGCCUUUCUUUCCAUGUUUCUACUUCUAUCUGUCUCUGUCGCUCUCUUUCAGACUUCCCCUGCCUGUUCCCACUUAAUCUCUGCUUACAGACAUGGCACUGACCCUGAAGCAUAGCUCAGCUCCAAGUCCUUGGCUUAUAGUGCCAGCACAAGAACAUCAGGGCAGUGGGAAUAUGACAGCCUCUCCAUAUUGAUUGCAGCAAUGACACCACACCAUGACCGGCACAGUCACAUAUGUGCAGUUGUUUUUUAAAGCUUGCUGUACAGUUGGGAGUUGACUGCAUGUUUUAAGGUCAAGCUGAACUUGCUACAAGAGUCUGCAGUGUAAAUGACACGUCACUCACUGGAAAAAGGAAAAGAGGCAUGGUGUAUAGGUAGCAAAAAGGAAAAAGCCUUCACAUUUGAACAGCAAGACACAUUAACUUUCUAAUAUCCUCUUACCUGCUGCAUGUAUAGAAACACCUUGUGAUGCACCUUGACUUGGCAAAUUAGCCUCCAGACAUGCAGCAGAAAAAGUGCGUCGCAAACGACAAUUUCCAGGCUAAAUAACUUCUUACCUAAUGCACUAAAUGCGACCGUUAAAAAAUCUCAAUCUUCGAAGCCACUGCUAACACAAAACACUAACAGUACUAGCUUACAGGCUAAUACAUAAAUAGCUAGUUAGCCAAAUAGCUCAAAAACAACAUCAGAUUGUUGCUAGUUGCUAACAGCUGUGGUUGUUACUCCUUGAAGCCACUGCUAGCACAAAAAAAUAGCCUUCAACUUUGAACGACACGCAUUAGCUUUGUCACUAUUGUAAAGUCCACAGCUGUUAGCACUGUAAUCAUCCAGUGUUUAGUAGUUAAGUUUUAGCUUUAUAGCUGAUGUCCUCUUUUCCGUGUGCAUGCAUGGACACGUCUUGUGUUGCACCUUGGUUUGUUAAACUAGCUAACUAACAAAUCAGGGGAGAAGUGCACUGCUGACAAUGUUGGUUUACAGGCUUAUAACUACUUGGCUAAACUUAAUUAAUAUGAAAUCGUUUAAAUGCUAUCAGAUGUGGCCCUUACUUCUCAUUAUCACUGCUAACAAAAUGCAACCAGUCUUUACCUUGUGAGCUACAGUUAACAGCACAGCUUUGCUGACAUUGCUUGUUUAAACCGGCUCAGCUGUCAUUUGAACUAUUUUUGAUCCCUAAAAUCACAAUUUUUCUGUUAAUAUUAAGCACAUGGGAGCAGUGUAUUGUAUAAUUAUUUUGCCCAGAUAUUAACUGCAAAAGCUGUUGUCUAGUCAUUAUUUCAGCUGGACUUUAAAUCCUAACAUGUCACCUGUGUAUCUCAGUCUGUUUCUUGUUUCGUUGUUCCACCAGACCUACUCUGAGGAAUUGAUUGUUGUUCAGGGAGGGUUGAGCCUCGCUGAUCACUUCAGAUUUAGCCGAUUUAAAACCAGGAUUGAGUGGCUGCGACUUACUGAGUCAGUUUGUCUCAGUUACCUACAAUUCACCUGUGUGAAGAGGGACAGCUGUGCUUCACUAUCAGUGAACAUCAGCACCAGUGUGAGCAACACAUCUACUAUUCAUGUUUCUCAUUGUGACACUGUCCUGCUGUCACCUGACGGAUCUGAAUGUACAUUUUGUUGUCGUUUUUAUAAAGAUGUGAACGGAAAAAGAAGCCGCUGCUGUGUUUCUGAGAGUUUUUCAUCCGUUUCAUUCUGCUUGUUUUAUUUAUUACAAGAGCAGAGGUGUUGUUUGUCCUUAUUUCUUCUUUCAGCAUCACCACCUGGUCUGUCUAUAUUGUCCCAACUUUUUUUAGUUCAUGAAGCUAUUCCUGGCCUACCAUACCAUAUCCCCACCCCUCUUCUUACUCGCUGGUGCUGAGCUGAGGUUUCUCCAUGUUGCUGCUGUAGCCUGGACCUGGGAGCUCUCAAAGAGGGAAGAUAUGACCUAGAUGUGUCUGCUAGCCACCUAGCUUUGCUUCAAAUUGGGCUAGAACUGCAGCUUUCCUCUGCAGUGACUGCAUUGUGAACCUGAUGCCAGGCAGGUUUACAGUAAGAGCAGCACUGUGGGGCCUGGGAAUAUUGAUGCGCUGUACCAGACAUCUCUUAGGGAUGCAAUCGAUCAAAGCUGCAGCUCGAGGUGUGAGGAGGGAGUGUCGAGUUUGAGGGUUGUCUCUCUGUGGAAUCACCUGCGUUUUUAACUCGACUGUUUGUGUGUCUUUGUGAGGACAUCCUGGGCUGCAGGGCAGGGCAGUGGGAGUGGGUGCGGUGUCAGGCGGACAUGGGAAAGUGGGUUAAAUUCCAGGCAUUCUCCUACAUCUGAAGCCGCACUGUUUCUGGUUUGUCUUUUCUGUAACUUAUCUUACAUCUUGUGUGUGUGUGAGAGCCCUUUGCCAAGCCCACUGGCUAUGGAAAAACAAUUUAACUGGAUUUAAUUUGUUGCCCCCCUCCUCCUUUCUCUUCCCUCCUUCCCCUCAGUUUUUUUUUUCUUUUGUGUGCGUCUGGGAGGUUGGGAAUUCAUCUUGUUUAGUAACUCCAUGCUUAGUCCGAGCUCGCUUUGCAAGUCAGGCGGGCCGAGUUUCAUGGCAGCUUCAAGGCCUCGAGUCAUGUCUGGACUUUGUUUUCUGUAUUUGAGAGUAAACAUCAUCCAUCUUACUUAGAAGAAGGUUCUUUAGGCCACAUAAAACUGUCAUUAUUUGUCCUCUAAUCUGAUGGACAAUUCUUUUCUUUGCUGCCUUUCUUGUCUUUUACUUGAUCAGCCGUCACUCCAUGCUCUAAAGGGUUAAUAAAGCACAAUGAAACCAGUUGCCUAGAGCUCUGACCACUUUUUCCAUUCUUGCUGGAAAGUUUCCAGUGCUAUUUAUAUGAAACCUCAGGCCCGGCAAUCAAGAAACCCACUUUAUCCUAAAGUUCUGUCUCGCUCAAAUCGCUGCAUUAAAAAAACAUCAGAAAUGGCCGAGACGCUCUGGAAUCUGCGGUCCGUAUCUGCUUAGCGAGUGACUUUACAACAUGUACAAGCUUUCACUAGUGAAAUAAAUCCGUAACUACUGUUGUGUAACCAAAGAAAAUACUACAACACAUCUAAUCUGUGCUGAGCUUGAUGUCUGAGGAAAACCAGAAGCUGUCUUUUAUGCGGGCCCAGAGGGAAUUCUAUCACUUUUGGCUGGAAUAUUGACAUAUUUUAAAAUGAUAACAUUAUUAUUUGUUUUAAGGAGUAGCUGGAAGGCAGAACUAGUGUUUGGCUGCUGCCCACAGGGGUUUGUGUGAGGGAGCAUUAUUAGUCCAAAUCUAGUCCUGGGGUUAUUAGACAGAACUUUAUAGUAUUAUUCAGCAAUACAAAGUGUAGUUUUCUGCAAGUACAGGCUGCUGCAUGGGAGUAUCAAUAAAAGACAUUCCCAGAAGAGGGCAGUCAAAGGCACACAGCGAUUUCCCACCUGAACCCAACACACAACUCCUCCUUUCCCUUUUAAUUUAUUUGAUUUCCACACACUUUAUUUUAAUUAUUAAUUCCAGACAUUAAAAUGUCGAUAUUCACAUACCUGUUCUAAAGUGAUAUGGUGUUAUUGUUCUUUUCUCAGGAGGUGCACACAUUCAUUAAUGAGAACCUGAACUGUGAAACAGUUUUCUUUGGCACAGUUUCUCACAACUGGGUCAAUAUAUGUAUUUUCCACUGUGGCUAUCGCUGCAACAUAACCUAUAGUUGUGUCCA